AUUGAACGCUGGCGGCGUGCCUAACACAUGCAAGUCGAGCGGCAGCGCGGGAGCAAUCCUGGCGGCGAGCGGCGGACGGGCGAGUAAUGCUUGGGAAUCUGCCUGUUAGUGGGGGACAACCCGGGGAAACUCGGGCUAAUACCGCAUACGCACUACGGUGGAAAGCCGGGGACCGCAAGGCCUGGCGCUAACAGAUGAGCCCAAGUCGGAUUAGCUAGUUGGUAGGGUAACGGCCACCAAGGCGACGAUCCGUAACUGGUCUGAGAGGACGACCAGUCACACCGGAACUGAGACACGGUCCGGACUCCUACGGGAGGCAGCAGUGGGGAAUAUUGGACAAUGGGGGAAACCCUGAUCCAGCGACGCCGCGUGGGUGAAGAAGGCCUGCGGGUUGUAAAGCACUUUCAGUAGGGAAGAAAACCCGAGUGCUAAUAUCACUCGGUCUUGACGUUACUUACAGAAGAAGCACCGGCUAACUCCGUGCCA
rnacentral:rRNA from 1 species